rnacentral:rRNA from 1 species
UACGGGAGGCAGCAGUGGGGAAUAUUGCACAAUGGGCGAAAGCCUGAUGCAGCUAUGCCGCGUGUAUGAAGAAGGCCUUAGGGUUGUAAAGUACUUUCAUCGGGGAGGAAAAAACAAAACUAAUAAUUUUAUUUCUUGACGUUACCCGAAAAAGAAGCACCGGCUAACUCCGUGCCAGCAGCCGCGGUAAUACGGAGGGUGCUAGCGUUAAUCAGAAUUACUGGGCGUAAAGAGCACGUAGGUGGUUUUUUUAAGUCAGAUGUGAAUCCCUGGGCUUAACCUAGGAACUGCAUUUUGAAACUGAAAUACUAGAGUAUCGUAGAGGGAGGUAGAAUUCUAGGUGUAGCGGUGAAAUGCGUAGAUAUCUGGAGGAAUACCUGUGGCGAAAGCGGCCUCCUAAACGAAUACUGACACUGAGUGCGAAAGCGUGGGGAGCAAAACAGGGAUUAGAUACC